CAUUUGACUGAAAAGCGCCAUACAAAUAAAUAAAGUUUGAGUUUGAGUACAAAGGAGUAAGUAAAAUUUUUAACUGGUGGACUUUUAACCUUUUUUUUAGAAAAGAAAAGUGAACAGGAAAUAAAUACUUUUCUCUGGUGGAAGAAAAUGAUGAACCCAAAACAUCCUCAACUGACUGACCUAUGACCUUCAGACUGUUGGGCUUCACUCAGGGGUCAAGUGUAGGUUUUAAACCUGCAUUCGUGCCCCAUUUGACCCUUUAAACUUUAUGUGAUUUGUGUCUAAUCCACUUUUAUGACAUUUCUGCCACGUUAACUCCACACCGUGUACUUCAUAGGCCUUCUUCAGCUUUUGGACUUGAGGUUGCCAAUCGAGCAAUGUAACAGUGAAGAGAAAGUAGCAGAACCAGUUAGGGCUUCUAGCAGCAGAAUUAAACAUUACCUGAAAGCACAAAGGAGCUCUGGAGCAACAUUGAACUGAAGAGGAGAUUGGCUGCUAGGAUACGACGUACGAGCAAGACAUGGCAACACCGCACACACGGAGCUGAUGGAGACGCUGAAGGGCUCUUCAGCAGCGGAAGAAAGAAGAAUGUGGGUGUGUGUUAUGUGAGCACAUGCGACUCAAUUAAGGCUCUGAGGAACUACAGGCGACGCUUUUUUUUAUUUAUUUUUUAAUGACAAACUAUGUAAAUGUCUCAUUCGGGCCAUCGGAGCAGGAGAACCAGACUUUCCUUUGCUUCAACGAACAUUUAAACGGCGAGUGGCGGCGGCUUGGCUGCCUCGCUGUCGCAGUUUACAGGUAAACACGGCGCCUCUUGUCACCCGCGGCGGUGAUGGGUCUCCACAGCAACGCCGUGACGCGCCAAACAGGAGCUAGCCACCAAAACGAAGAGAGGCGGCAUCUCCAGGAGCGAGCGGCGGCUCCUUUUACAAAGAUCGUCUAUCCAUGGGAGGAUGUCAACUGCGACGCAUUUUCUUUCAGGACCCGAACAUAAUGAUUCUAAGGACAUGUUUAUUACCUUUAGUCCAAUUUAAACAUUCCACACCAAACACAUUAUGUGCAUAUUGCAAUUUAUAAUAAAAUAGAGCAUAAUUGAACAUGUAGCUACAUAGAAUCCAAUAAUGGUUGUAAACUAAAAAUGCAAGAAAAAAAUAAAGUAGAAAUAUACACAUUUAAAGAAUGAAAAUGUAUGACAAAGUUACAAGGACAAAUAUGUCAUACAUUGAUUGUGUAUUAAUAAUCAUUCCAAUCUGAUGGUCAGUCGUGAUCGAGUGGUCAACCUCUGAUUGGAAGACCACAGGCUCAAUUCCCACUUUGCUCAUGUGUCAAAGUGCCCCUGGGCAAGACACUGAAUCUUUCAUUGCUCCCGGUGAUCCUAGGUUGGCACCAAUGUUUGGCAGCAGCGUGUGAAUAUGUGUGUGCAUGAGACUGGGACUGUCUGGGCCUUCUAUAAGUAUAUAAGUAUACAAUUUAAAUAAAAAAAAUGUUUAAGGCUGACAAAAUCACAUUGUACCAAAAAAUAAAUAAUAAUAUAAAUAAAUAAGAUUGUGUCUGCCCCAAACCUUUAAGCUGAUUUGUACAUCAGUCAGACCUGAUCCUAAAGAGUUUUUGCCUAAAACUCACAUGUUUGCCAUAUUUUAACUGAAUAAAAAUUGUGUUUUUAGCAUGUUCUUCUCUGAUUUUUGUCAUGAUGGAUCGCAUACAUAGAGAAAAUUAAGCUUUAAAUAGCAUUUCUGGGCAUUUAUUUUUUUUAA